rnacentral:rRNA from 1 species
AUUAAACGCUGACGGCAGGCCUAACACAUGCAAGUCGAACGGUAACAGAGAGUAGCUUGCUACUUUGCUGACGAGUGGCGGACGGGUGAGUAAUGUCUGGGGAUCUGCCUGAUGGAGGGGGAUAACUACUGGAAACGGUAGCUAAUACCGCAUAAUGUCGCAAGACCAAAGCGGGGGACUUUCGGGCCUCGCACCAUCAGAUGAACCCAGAUGGGAUUAGCUAGUAGGUAGGGUAAUGGCUUACCUAGGCGACGAUCCCUAGCUGGUCUGAGAGGAUGACCAGCCACACUGGAACUGAGACACGGUCCAGACUCCUACGGGAGGCAGCAGUGGGGAAUAUUGCACAAUGGGCGCAAGCCUGAUGCAGCCAUGCCGCGUGUAUGAAGAAGGCCUCCGGGUUGUAAAGUACUUUCAGUCAGGAGGAAGGGUGUGAAAUUAAUACUUUCAUGCAUUGACGUUACUGACAGAAGAAGCACCGGCUAAUUGCGCG